rnacentral:rRNA from 1 species
AGCGGCGCACGGGUGCGUAACGCGUAUGCAACUGCUUUAUACAGGGGGAUAGCCCAUGGAAACGUGGAUUAAUAUCCCAUAGGACUUUAGAGCCGCAUGGUUUUGAAGUUAAAGCUGAGGUGGUAUAAGAUGGGCAUGCGUCUGAUUAGGUAGUUGGUAGGGUAACGGCCUACCAAGCCGACGAUCAGUAGGGGUUCUGAGAGGAUUACCCCCCACACUGGUACUGAGACACGGACCAGACUCCUAUGGGAGGCAGCAGUGAGGAAUAUUGGUCAAUGGGCGAGAGCCUGAACCAGCCAUCCCGCGUGCAGGAUGACGGCCCUAUGGGUUGUAAACUGCUUUUUUGCUCCAAGAAACCUGAUUACGAGUAAUCAGUUGACGGUAGAGCAGGAAUAAGCAUCGGCUAACUCCGUGCCAGCAGCCGCGGUAAUACGGAGGAUGCAAGCGUUAUCCGGAUUCAUUGGGUUUAAAGGGUGCGCAGGUGGGAAUGUAAGUCAGUGGUGAAAUACUGCCGCUUAACGGUAGAGCUGCCAUUGAUACUGCGUUUCUUGAGUAUGGUUGAGGUAGGUGGAAUGUGUUGUGUAGCGGUGAAAUGCAUAGAUAUGACACAGAACGCCGAUUGCGAAGGCAACUUACUAAGCCAUUACUGACGCUGAGGCACGAAAGCGUGGGUAGCGAACAGGAUUAGAUACCCUGGUAGUCCACGCUGUAAACGAUGUUCACUCGCUGUUUGCGAUACACAGUAAGCGGCUGAGCGAAAGCAUUAA